rfam:Heterocephalus glaber contig29737, whole genome shotgun sequence.
GGAAGUGAGGGCGAUCUGGCUGUGACAUCUGUCGCCCCAUUGAUCACCAGGGUUGAUUCGGCUGAUCUGGCUGGCUAGGCAGGUGUCCUCUUCCUCCCUCACUGCUCCAUGUGCAUCCUUUCCAAAGCUGUGUGCUCUGUCAAACAGAACAACCACCUUGGAUAGAGGAAGACCGUUUCCUCGAGAAGGGUAUAUGAGGAGUAGCUGUGCUCCCUGGUGAGAACCUCCAAACAAGCUCUCAAGGUCUGUAUUUUAUUUUUUAUUGAGAGACAGGGUCUCAUUAAAUUUACUAAGUUGCCCAGGCUAGAUUUGAACUUGUGAUCCUACUGCCUCAGCCU